AUCUAGCUGACGAAUCCCAAAAUAGAACGAAACGGCCAUUCUGGAU
rnacentral:hammerhead_ribozyme from 1 species